rnacentral:rRNA from 1 species
GACGAACGCUGGCGGCGUGCUUAACACAUGCAAGUCGAACGAAGUGGCGAACGGGUGAGUAACGCGUAAUCAACCUGCCCUUCAGAGGGGGACAACAGUUGGAAACGACUGCUAAUACCGCAUAAGGAAGGAGGGGAUUGCGUUUGCUGAGCUAGUGGGGGGGGAAAAGGCCCACCAAGGGGAUGAUCAGUAGGCGGUCUGACAGGAUGAACGGCCACAUUGGGACGGAGAAACGGCCCAGACUCCUUCGGGAUGCAGCAGGGGGGAAUCUUCCGAAAUGGACGAAAGUCUGACGGAGCAACGCCGCGUUAGUGAUGACGGCCUUCGGGUUGUAAAGCUCUGUUAAUCGGGACGCGGUACCGGAAUAGAAAGCCACGGCUAACUACGUGCCAGCAGCCGCGGUAAUAC